AACGAACGCUGGCGGCAUGCCUAACACAUGCAAGUCGAACGAGACCUUCGGGGCUAGUUGCGCACGGGUGCGUAACGCCGGGUAACCUGCCCUUAGGUACGGUAUAACUCACCGGAAGGGGUGCUUAUAACGGAUUAUGUCAUCGGGCAAAAGAUUUAUCGCUUCUGGAUGGGUGCGCGUUGGGUUAGAUAGUUGGUAGGCUAGAAGCCUAUCAAGGCGAUGAGGCAUAGCUGGUCUGAGAGGAUGAUCAGCCACACUGUGAGUGAGACACGGACGAGACUCCUACGGGAGGCCGGAGUGGGGAAUAAUGGACGCUGGGCGAGAGAAUGAGGCAGCAGUGCCGCGUAGGUGAUGAAGGCCUGAGGGUUGAAAAGCUCUUUUAAAAGGGAAGAUAAUGACAGUACCGGAAGAAUAAGCGCCGGCUAACUACGUG
rnacentral:rRNA from 1 species